AGCAUGAUUAAGAACAGAACUAGAGACAUCUACAUUUUCAUCAUUCUCUUUGGCAUUGUUCCCCUCAGGAAAAUUCACUAAAGGACCAGCUUCAAGAACCUCGACAUGGGUAUCAUUCAUAUCAAACUCUUUACAAGACGCACUUUCCGCCAGUUGAGAAUCCACCACAGGAUUUUGGUCAAGACCUGGUGAAUUACUGUUCAUAUCAAUGGAAGCAUGAUUAAGAGCUGAACCAGAGACAUCUACAUUUUUAUUAUUCUCUUUGGUAUUGUUCCCCUCAGAUGAAUUCACUGAAGGACUGGCUUCAACAACCUCAUCACGGACAUCAUUCAUAUCAAACUCUUUAAAAGGCAAAGCAUUAUCCGUCACUUGAGAAUCAAGCACAGGAUUUCGGUCAUGCCCUGGUGAAUUAUUAUUCAUAUCACUUUCAGUGUGAUCAAGAACUGAACCAGAGACAUCUACAUUUUCAUCAUUCUCUUUGGCAUUGUUCGCCUCGGACAAAUUCGCUAAAGGACCAGAUUCAAGAACCUCGACAUGGGUAUCAUUCAUAUCAAAUUCUUUACAAGACAAAGCAUUAUCCACCACUCGAGAAUCCGACACAGGAUUUUGGUCAAGUCCUGGGGAAUCACAAUUCAUAUCAGUGAUAUCUUGAUUAAGAGCUGAACCAGAGACAUCUACAUUUUCAUUAUUCUCUUUGGUAUUGUUCGCCUGAGAUGAAUUCCCUAAAGGACCAGCUUCAAGAACCAAACCAAGGGAAUCAUUCAUAUCAAACUUUUUUAAAGACAAAUCAUUAUCCACCACUUGAGAGUCCGACACAGGAUUUUGGUCAAGCCCUGGUGAAUCACAAUUCAUAUCAGUGAUAGCAUGAUUAAGAACAGAACCAGAUACAUCUACAUUUUCAUCAUUCUCUUUGGCAUUGUUCCCUUUGAACGAAUUCACUAAAGGACCAGCUUCAACAACCUCAACAUGGGCAUCAUUCAUAUCAAACUUUUUUAAAGACAUAUCAUUAUCCGCCACUCGGGAAUCCGACACAGGAUUUUGGUCUAGCCCUGGUGAAUCACAAUUCAUAUCAGUGAUAGCAUGAUUCAGAACAGAACCAGAGACAUCUACAUUUUCAUUAUUCUCUUCGGUAUUGUUCGCCUGAGAUGAAUUCACUAAAGGACCAGCUUCGAGAACCUCAACAUGGGCAUCAUUCAUAUCAAACUCUUUAAAAGACAAAGCAUUAUCCACUACUUGAGAAUCCGACACAGG
rnacentral:lncRNA from 1 species